UGAUUUUCAUGGCAGGCAUACAGAUAUAUCUCUCCGUCCGCUUUUUCUCAGAAUAUACUGCACUUGAAAGGUUCCACUUAUCUUUGUCCUAGACCCGUCGACCAUUUUGAUAUAUGGCCUUGAAAUAGUACUAGAAGACCCUGUUUUCGUACGCCACUUUGUGUUUCUUGUUCCAAACGCAAGUGUGUUUCUCUCUAUAUUGGUGGGCUUGAAUUCUAUUUAUCUUCCAGAAAACGCUUAACUUGUGACAAAAGAACCUCAAAUACGUCGAUAAACUCCGCAAAAUCUUUUUGUUCCAACUAGUCAAUUCUUGGAAAGGAUUUUAAUAUAUAUUGUCACCCCCC
rnacentral:lncRNA from 1 species